rnacentral:rRNA from 1 species
UACCUGCAGCUCGAGUGGUAACCGCUAUUAUUGGGCCUAAAGCGUCCGUAGCCGGUUUGGUAAAUAUCUGGGUAAAUCGUGAGGCUUAACUUCACGAAUUUCGGAUAGACUGCCAGACUUGGGAUCGGGGGAGGUCAGAGGUACUCCAGGGGUAGCGGUGAAAUGUUGUAAUCCUUGGAGGACCACCGGUAGCGAAGGCGUCUGACUAGAACGAGUCCGACGGUGAGGGACGAAGCCCUGGGGCGCAAACCGGAUUAGAUACCCGGGUAGUCCAGGGUGUAAACGAUGUGGGCUUUGUAUUGGAGGUCCCACGUGGGCGUCCAGUGCAGAAGAGAAGUUGUUAAGCCCACCGCCUGGGAAGUACGGUCGCAAGGCUGAAACUUAAAGGAAUUGGCGGGGGAGCACGGCAACGGGAGGAGCGUGCGGUUU